AAGACAGCAGAGAGAUGAGAAUUGAACUCUGUGGGCUGCUAAAAUGGAAGUAUUGCCAGACAGAGAGAGCAAUUUAAGAAGAAGAGGGAGCCGAACCAUAAAAAGGGAUUGUGAAUACAAACACAAUAAAUGUUAUGAAGCAGAAGUUUGAUGAUGGGUCUUUAAAGGUGAACUAAUACAUUGAACAGAUUCUACAGCAGACUGGUCAAGGCCUACAUCUGCAGUGACCACAAACUCUCUGCCUCACACAUUUUGUUUGACCAACAUUUGCUAUACAAGUAGUUCUUGAACUGGUGGAAGUCUUAUUGCUACUCCCUGCCCCCUGGUCCACCUAAAAAAAAAAUCA